rnacentral:rRNA from 1 species
AUUGAACGCUGGCGGCAUGCCUUACACAUGCAAGUCGAACGGCAGCGGACCUUCGGGUGCCGGCGAGUGGCGAACGGGUGAGUAAUGUAUCGGAACGUACCUUUCAGUGGGGGAUAACGUAGCGAUAGUUACGCUAAUACCGCAUAUUCUGUGAGCAGGAAAGCAGGGGAUCGCAAGACCUUGCGCUGAUUGAGCGGCCGAUAUCAGAUUAGCUAGUUGGUGAGGUAAAGGCUCACCAAGGCGACGAUCUGUAGCGGGUCUGAGAGGAUGAUCCGCCACACUGGAACUGAGACACGGUCCAGACUCCUACGGGAGGCAGCAGUGGGGAAUUUUGGACAAUGGGGGCAACCCUGAUCCAGCCAUGCCGCGUGAGUGAAGAAGGCCUUCGGGUUGUAAAGCUCUUUCGUCCGGGAAGAAAUCGCAUCAGCUAAUACCUGGUGUGGAUGACGGUACCGGAAUAAGAAGCACCGGCUAACUACGUGCCAGCCGCCGCCGUAAGAC